UUCUGCUGUUGCAGCCCAUCCGCCUCAAGGUUGUGCGUGUUGUUGCUUCACAAAUGCUUUGCUGCAUACCUAGGUUGUAACGAGUUAUUAUUUUAGUCAAAGUUGCUCUUCUAUCAGCUUGAAUCAGUUGGCCCAUUUUCCUCUGGCCUCUAGCAUCAACAAGGCAUUUUUGCCCACAGGACUGCCGCAUACUGGAUGUUUUUCCCUUUUCACACCAUUCUUUGGAUACCCUAGAAAAUGGUUGUGCAAAAUUGCUUAAAUCACCUUUCUUUCCCAUUCUAACAUUAAGUUUGGAGCUCAGGAGAUUGUCUUGACCAGGACCACAGCCCUAAAUGAAUUGAAUUAACUGCCAUGUGACUGGUUGAUUAGAUAAUUGCAUUAAUCAGAAAUUGAACAGGUGUUCCUAAUAACCAUUUAGGUGAGUGUAUAACCAGCAGUGCAAUGUGAGAAACAAGUUAUUAGUUAAACGUGAGAAACAUUAGAUGGGCAACAAAGAGACGACCCCCAAAACAGGAAUGGUUUUACAGUGUCCGUACUGGUAGCAUGUGGCGAUACCUGGAUCCUACAGAGGUUGCACAGGCAUUCCAAACUCUUCCGGGAUGGGAUAUCAAUAUGUGCCGUUGCCAGAAGGUUUGCUGCAUCUCCCAGCACAGACUCAGGAGCAUGGUGGAGAUUCCUGGAGACAAGCAGUUACUCUAGGAGAGCUGGUCAGGGCCGUAGAAGGUCAUUGACCCAUCAGCAGGACUGGUAUCUGCUCCUUUGUGCAAGGAGGAACAGGAUGAGCACUGCCAGAGUCUUACAAAAUGACAUCCACCGGGCCACUGGUGUAAAUGUCUCUGACUGAACAAUCAGAAAUAGAUUUUAUUAGGGUGGACUGAGGGCCCGACAUACUCUUGUGGGCCCUGUGCUCACUGCCUAGCAUACUAAAGCUCUAUUGGCAUUUGCUAUUGAACACCAGAAUUGGCAGGCACUGUGUGCUUUUCACAGAUGAAAGCAGGUUCACCCUGAGCACAUAUGACAGAUGUGAAAGGGUCUGGAGAAGCUGUGGAUAACAUUAUGCUUUCUGUAACAUUUUUAGCAUGGCCAGUUUGGUAGUGGGUCAGUGAUGGUCUGAGGAGGCAUAUCCAUGAGGAAUGACUGCCAUUAGGUAUCAGGAUGAAAUCCUGGGAUCCAUUGUUAUACCCUAUGCUGGUGCAAUGGUUCCUGAAUUCCUCCUGGUGCAUGACAAUUCCCAGCCUCAUGUGUCGAGAGUUUGGAGGUAGUACCUGGAGGAUGAAGGGAUAGGUACCAUUAAAUGGCCCCCACGCUUGCCUGACAUAAAUCCAACAGAACACCGCUGGGACAUCAUGGUUCUGCCCAUCUGAAUCCUUCAGGUUGCACCUCAAACUGUCCUAGAGCUCAGUGAUGCCCUGGUCCAGAUCUAGGAGGAAAUACUCCAGCACAACAUCUGUCGUCUCAUUAGGAGACGUUGUCAGGCAUGCAUACAAGCUUUUUUUUUUAACUUUGCCUUUGAAUUCGUCCAUCUGUAGGUUGAUCAUUUUCAUUUACAUCAAACGAUGUAGCAUCCUUUCAUACCUAACACAUUACCCAGUCCAUAUCAGUAUAGAUGUUCAGCAUUUGUCUCUAUUGGGUUCUGAUAUACAAAUCUAGUUAAUAAAUACAAAUAUGUACAUACAAAAAUCAGUUUUUGUUAUAUUUUGAAUAUGACUAAGCGCUUCACUUGAAUUAAAUUAGACAUACUCAACAGGAAGAUGUACUGAAUUCCAAUCUAAAGAAAUCUUUAAUUCUUUCUGCCCAGUAGGCCUAUAAACUUCCAGAGCUUUUACAUUUUUAAAAAAAUUACUUAAUUACAUUUUGAUUCAAAUUGCAAUUAUUCAUCCUGUUACUACUGCAUGUUUACUCCACUUCGCACACCAAAAAAAAAAAAAAAUCCUACUGUUUUCCAAGUCUGAUAUAUUUAAACACAUGGUUUUACAAAUUUUCUAUUGUGCUCCCUCUUUAACUCUCUCAUCACUUCUCAGUAUGUUUUAUGCUUUACUAAGACAAACACACUAUUAACAGACAUACACAGAUCAUCUGCUGCACAAGCACCUUUUAAAAAGUAGUCAUUUCUUUCUUUCUUUGUGCUCAAAGCUAAAUAAUAAUCUUUUAUAGCAGAAUCUGAACUCCAUAUUCUGAACUCUGAUUCUUCCGUUUAUCUCUGUGAAGCUGCUUUGACGCAAUCUCUAUUAUAUAAAGCAAUAUAGAAAUAAAAGUGACUUGAUUAUGCAUGUAGUUAUCUUAAAGUGUAUAAACCAACACUGAGAAUCUAACACAUCCAGUAAAAAAAAAAAAAAAAAGCCCACUGACA